rnacentral:rRNA from 1 species
GUACCUACGGGACGCAGCAGUGGGGAAUAUUGCACAAUGGGGGAAACCCUGAUGCAGCGACGCCGCGUGAGCGAGGAAGUAUUUCGGUAUGUAAAGCUCUAUCAGCAGGGAAGAAAAUGACGGUACCUGACUAAGAAGCCCCGGCUAACUACGUGCCAGCAGCCGCGGUAAUACGUAGGGGGCAAGCGUUAUCCGGAUUUACUGGGUGUACAGGGAGCGUAGACGGCGGCGCAAGUCCGGAGUGAAAGCCCACGGCCCAACCGCGGGACUGCGCUGGAAACUGUGCGGCUUGAGU